AAGUCGUAACAAGGUUUCCGUAGGUGAACCUGCGGAAGGAUCAUCGUAGGAUAAAAUAUGUGCCUGCCUUUUUGUGGGGUGGGUAUUUUAUUUUUUACAAUCCCAACCAAAAGGAGAGGAGUUGACUGAGGAAUUGUUGGUAUUUGGAGAAACGAACAAAACUUUCAACAACGGAUCUCUUGGCUCUCA
rnacentral:misc_RNA from 1 species